ACAGGGCCAUGACAAGAUGACUAUCUCACCACAGGGCUUUAAGUUUUUGAUUACGUCACUAGUAGCUCACUCGGUGUAAAAAAAAGGGCUUGGGAAUAGCUUAACGAACUUACUUGGCUGAGAUGUGAAAUUCUUAAAUCUAUAUGGAUUUAGAUCGUAAUAAUAAGAAAUUGUUGCGCAAUUAAGCCAAGAAGACAACUUUCAAUUCAAACCAGCUGUAACAACUAACAAUGCUGGCUAUCCAACCAAAUCCAACUGCCAAGCAACCACUUGUUUGUAAUCAGUCUCACUUACCAGUUGAAAUGGAAUGUUCCAGGCAAGUAAAGUUGAUUGAAUUGAAGAAUUUAGACACUUGCAUCUUUUUCAACUGCGCGAAAUAUGGUGAUGAUCAAGCAGACGACAAUUAUUCUGUGAGAGCGUGAAGCAUCAGCAUGAACUCAAUUGUUUUACAUAGAUGCCAUCAAAGCGGAAUAAACAAAAAUUUAUGUAGCUAAGAACGCUUAAUAAUUCAUGAUCAUUAUAA